rnacentral:rRNA from 1 species
GUAUCCUACGGGAGGCAGCAGUGAGGAAUAUUGGUCAAUGGGCGGGAGCCUGAACCAGCCAAGUCGCGUGAGGGAAGACGGUCCUAUGGAUUGUAAACCUCUUUAGGCGGGGAGCAAUGCCGGGCACGCGUGCCCGGAGGGAGAGUACCCGCAGAAUAAGCAUCGGCUAACUCCGUGCCAGCAGCCGCGGUAAUACGUAGGGGGCGAGCGUUAUCCGGAUUUAUUGGGCGUGAAGCGUCCGCAGCCGGUUUAUUAAGUAU